rnacentral:rRNA from 1 species
AUUGAACGCUGGCGGCAGGCCUAACACAUGCAAGUCGAGCGGAUGAAGGGAGCUUGCUCCUGGAUUCAGCGGCGGACGGGCGAGUAAUGCCUAGGAAUCUGCCUGGUAGUGGGGGAUAACGUCCGGAAACGGGCGCUAAUACCGCAUCCGUCCUGAGGGAGAAAGUGGGGGAUCUUCGGACCUCACGCUAUCAGAUGAGCCUAGGUCGGAUUAGCUAGUUGGUGGGGUAAAGGCCUACCAAGGCGACGAUCCGUAACUGGUCUGAGAGGAUGAUCAGUCACACUGGAACUGAGACACGGUCCAGACUCCUACGGGAGGCAGCAGUGGGGAAUAUUGGACAAUGGGCGAAAGCCUGAUCCAGCCAUGCCGCGUGUGUGAAGAAGGUCUUCGGAUUGUAAAGCACUUUAAGUUGGGAGGAAGGGCAGUAAGUUAAUACCUUGCUGUUUUGACGUUACCAACAGAAUAAGCACCGGCUAACUUCGUG